CUAGCUUUGUGUAAUAUACAUUGUCGAUGGUGUAUGUCAAUAAUUAUUAGGCUUUUGUUUCGACGGUUUGACGUGUUUUCGAAUAAAAUGGCGUAUCGAAAUGACCAUGGUUAUUAACUUCUUGUAGUAUAUUUCAGUGGCGACGAGGAUGGGAUUAUAUAAAAAACCUUUACAAGAAACUCUAUCAGUUAAACAAAUAAAACGGAAGAAGUUUCCAGGAAAGCCAGGAAUUCACCAAAAGUAAAAAUACUUUCUGAUAAUCUGGAUCCCAUUCUUCAUUUACCCAUGUACCAAGAUAUUUGUGCAUUGAAACUCUUUCGAGUGUUGUACAUGUGAGAGUUCUUAUUGAGGUUUGUUGCGGUU